rnacentral:tRNA from 1 species
GAGGGCGUAGCUCAGUUGGUAGAGCAUCGGACUUUUAAUCCGUGGGUCCUGGGUUCAAGUCCCAGCGCCCUCAC